CAGGGGAUGGGCUAUUACCAUUGUGACGUCGGCGCCCAUGACUACUCUCCCUUUUCGAAACGUUUUGAAAAACAAUGCAACCAUCCCAAUGGAAUAUUAUUGAAGCCCUGGUUGAAAAAGCCCCUAAAGAGUUAUGUUAUACAACGUUUGACAUGUUUGAACGAACUUAAAUCAUUUUUUUUUGCUCAUUCCUGACGACAAGUCAGACGCACACGGUACAUUUUCACUAGCCUUCGGAGCGCGCUAACACUAUUGGGACAUAAAUUAUUCACUUUUUUGAACAAAACUACAUUUGUUAUGGACCUGGGAUUCCUAGAAGUGCCUUCUGAUAAAGAUAAUCAAAGGGACUGGACAUUAGCAAGUAAUAUACUCGGAAGUGGUGGGUGGUGUGCGCGCCUCCGAAGUCUGACCAGAAGACCACUCCAUCUUCCCCUUCUCUGGCGGCGUGGUUUUGGGUCGGCCUCUGGGAUCAGUUAAAAUGCCCUCGGUGGUGCGGACAAAGGAUCUGCUUCGGGAAAGUCGUAUUCCUGAUCAUAGUGCUGUUGUGUAGUGGUGCCUGGAGAAGUGAACUGCUAGGGGUGGGUGGACCGAGUCGGAGUCUCUCGUUUUCCCUCACAGGGCUGGAUAAAUGCAAAACAUCUGAUUUUCCCCUAAGAGAAACAUUGACGACUUUACGGCAG
rnacentral:lncRNA from 1 species